rnacentral:misc_RNA from 1 species
UCCGAGUUGACCCCGGCAGUCUCCUACGAGUCCCCGCCAUUACGCGCUGGCAACAUAGGACAAGGGUUGCGCUCGUUGCGGGACUUAACCCAACAUCUCACGACACGAGCUGACGACAACCAUGCACCACCUGUAUACCGCCCUUGCGGACCCCGUAUCUCUACGAGUUUUCGGUAUAUGUCAAGCCUUGGUAAGGUUCUUCGCGUUGCCUCGGAUUAAGCCACAUGCUCCGCCGCUUGUGCGGGCCCCCGUCAAUUCCUUUGAGUUUCAGUCUUGCGACCGUAUUCCCCAGGCGGAACACUUAACGCGUUAGCUGCGGCUCUGGACCGUUGACGAGCCCAAAACCUAGUGUUCAUCGUUUACGGCAUGGACUAC